CUACAAUACUUUAUCGGUUAUAAAGUCCUGGGUUAAUAACGACCUAUAUCUAUUCACGCUACAGAAGAGGCUACGACGGGUCCACAACUUGGCUAACACAACACUAGAUUCUGGCAAUGGAGAAAUUCACAGACAUGACCAAGAUAAAAAACAUCCAUGCUGACAUGGUGAUAGAGCUGUCCACGUGGAUCAGUCCAGGAUUAGGAGAAAAAUGGAGGACCUUCCGGACGCUUUUGGAACCACACUUGGGACAUGCUGUAUUGUAUGAUAAGGAGGGGGAAAGCAUGGCACAAUAUCUGUGGUUGUCUUAAGGCCGAAGGAAAAAUUGAUUAUGGUGAAUAUGACCUGUUACGAGAGAUUGUCAUCAAAAUCCAUGUUGACGCAGCUGCUGUUAUUGACAAAGCUCAGACAGAAAUGGAUCAACUUUCACUGUCACAACGGUAACUAGCUGUACCAGUGUCUCCUCACCAGUACCAUGAAAUCGACAGCUCUAAUAUCUAAUUGUAAUAUGACUGACCGCCUUAGCAAGAUAACUUCCUGGAAACAAACCAUUCCCAACCGCAGCACCCCAGAAAUCAAAACAACAGUUACAUCUGAGAUGAAAGUUCAGCCAAAGACACAAUAAUAGCAUGCAGCUCUCCAGGAAAAAUGACGUCAGAAGUUCCUAAAUAGGCGAUUUAUAAUCAUCAACAAACAUACGAUCAGGGCAAGGGCAAACGUUUUAGUGAAAAAGAUCCAGGAUCCUAAGGAUGUUUUUGGAAGAUGAAAUCCAAGUGUGUUAAUGCUAAUGAAUAACUUGCAUUCCAAUGAACUGACGAAAUCUGCCGUUGUGAUUUUUCUGCUAUUACGUAUUUUUUGUAAAGAUAAUAAACCAAAAUCAAUCUAUUAUGUAAAAUGUGGAAUAUUCUAAGACUGUUAAAUAUUUCAAUGAUAAGUUUUGCGUUUAUACCUUACUUAAAAUACAUUCCUCUUUGUAUCAAUAUUGUACAGUUUCAAUAUCUGUUGAGUAUGCGUAAUCAACCAAAAAUGACAUUGCCUAAAUGUAGGACAGUUGUGUCUUAAGCAUACUGUUUUAUACUGUUUUUAUACUGUUUUCGUACAAUUUUCUGACUGCUUUCAUGCAUUUACACAAUUGUAUAAAUCAUACUACUAACAGGAGUGUGAAGUAUGUUCUAGUAAAGCUUGGUCUCCUUUGAAUAAUGUCGUCCACAAAAAAGUUGUUUUCUUCGCGUAUUACAGUUCAUGUACAGUUUUAGAACUAACAUUCAGCAUUGAAAUGGAUUAAGUUAAAAUAGUGUGAUUGAUUAACUGAUUAAGAAAUUGACUAUAGUAAAUCUUUGGGAGUUUAUAUGAGAGAGAAUGAAAAGAAAGAAAUUACAAAAUUAAAUUGUGAAAAAGACAGAUUUACCCACUACAUAUAAUUCAUACUUUUUCAGUAAAGCUAUAAAUAUGCGACAUUAAUUCUUUGCUUACUUAGUCCUGUCAUGAAGCUAUUUUUACCGUUGUUUAGCAUAAUUAGGAGCACAUUCAAAAUAUGACUUUUAGCUGUCAAGUAAGAUAUCUGAAGCCAUUUUUUUGUAAAUAUCUAUGUUUUGGUAAUAAAUUGUCGAUUGCA